rnacentral:rRNA from 1 species
UACGUAGGGGGCAAGCGUUGUCCGGAAUCAUUGGGCGUAAAGCGCGUGUAGGCGGUCCGGUAAGUCCGCUGUGAAAGUCGGGGGCUCAACCCUCGGAUGCCGGUGGAUACUGUCGGGCUUGAGUACGGAAGAGGCGAGUGGAAUUCCUGGUGUAGCGGUGAAAUGCGCAGAUAUCAGGAGGAACACCAAUUGCGAAGGCAGCUCGCUGGGACGUUACUGACGCUGAGGCGCGAAAGCCAGGGGAGCAAACGGG